rnacentral:rRNA from 1 species
AUUGAACGCUGGCGGCAGGCCUAACACAUGCAAGUCGAGCGGAUGAAGGGAGCUUGCUCCUGGAUUCAGCGGCGGACGGGUGAGUAAUGCCUAGGAAUCUGCCUGGUAGUGGGGGAUAACGUCCGGAAACGGGCGCUAAUACCGCAUACGUCCUGAGGGAGAAAGUGGGGGAUCUUCGGACCUCACGCUAUCAGAUGAGCCUAGGUCGGAUUAGCUAGUUGGUGGGGUAAAGGCCUACCAAGGCGACGAUCCGUAACUGGUCUGAGAGGAUGAUCAGUCACACUGGAACUGGGAGACGGUCCAGACUCCUACGGGAGGCAGCCGUGGGGAAUAUUGGACAAUGGGAGAAAGCCUGAACCAUCCAUGCCGCGUGUGUGAAGAAGGUCUUCGGAUUGUAAAGCACUUUAAGUUGGGAGGAAGGGAAGUAAGUUAAUACCUUGCUGUUUUGACGUUACCAUCAGAAAAAGCCCCGGCUAACUUCGGU